AUGAACAGGUAUGAUCAGAUCUGAUAAUUUAUUCCUGGGUAUUUUGGUUUGCUAGAAAGUACAUUCAUAAAUAAUCACAGUACAAAGUAAAUCAUAAGACAAAAUUGCCUACAUAAUUAUAUGAUUUGAUGUGAAUGAUAAAAUGUUACAUUGUGCUAUUUUUGUAUUUUUUUUUUUUGUAUUUUUUACUCCUCGUUGGCAACAAUUGUUUUAACGCUAGUUUGUGUUUUCUAAAAUAAAUUAGACGAAUUUAAAACAAUAUAACAUAAUAAUUAUCAUCAAAUUUUGGUUUAAAUUCCACAUCCUAGCACGUGCCUUGGAGCGAGAUCAAAUAUUUACAUAAACAUGCAUGAUACUAAGAUGCCUCAUAAAAAGUCAAAGUAAAAAUU
rnacentral:misc_RNA from 1 species